UACGUAGGGUGCGAGCGUUGUCCGGAAUUAUUGGGCGUAAAGAGCUCGUAGGCGGUUUGUUGCGUCGGCCGUGAAAACCUGCAGCUUAACUGUGGGCCUGCGGCCGAUACGGGCAGACUUGAGUUCGGUAGGGGAGACUGGAAUUCCUGGUGUAGCGGUGAAAUGCGCAGAUAUCAGGAGGAACACCGGUGGCGAAGGCGGUUCUCUGGGAAUAUCCUGACGCUGAGGAGCGAAAGUGUGGGGAGCGAACAGG
rnacentral:rRNA from 1 species